rfam:Picea glauca, whole genome shotgun sequence.
GGAUCUGUGGCGCAAUGGUAGUGCGUUUGACUCCAAAUCAGAAGGUUGUGUGUUAGAUUCACGUUGGUUUCA